rnacentral:rRNA from 1 species
GGUGAACGCUGGCGGUAGGCCUAACACAUGCAAGUCGAACGGCAGCACAGUAAGAGCUUGCUCUUACGGGUGGCGAGUGGCGGACGGGUGAGGAAUACAUCGGAAUCUACUUUUUCGUGGGGGAUAACGUAGGGAAACUUACGCUAAUACCGCAUACGACCUACGGGUGAAAGCAGGGGAUCUUCGGACCUUGCGCGAUUGAAUGAGCCGAUGUCGGAUUAGCUAGUUGGCGGGGUAAAGGCCCACCAAGGCGACGAUCCGUAGCUGGUCUGAGAGGAUGAUCAGUCACACUGGAACUGAGACACGGUCCAGACUCCUACGGGAGGCAGCAGUGGGGAAUAUUGGACAAUGGGCGCAAGCCUGAUCCAGCCAUACCGCGUGGGUGAAGAAGGCCUUCGGGUUGUAAAGCCCUUUUGUUGGGAAAGAAAAGCAGCAGGUUAAUACCCCGCUGUUCUGACGGUACCCAAAGAAUAAGCACCGGCUAACUUCGUG